CAAAUUUGAAAGCUGGUACCUUCGGUAUCCGCGUUGUAACCUCGAGACACGUUUUCCGUGCGGCGCUAUGGACAAGUUCCUUGGAACAGGACAUCGUAGAGGGUGAAAAUCCCGUACUUGCCAUGGAUGUACCGUGCUUUGCGAUACGUGCUCUAAGAGUCGAGUUGUUUGGGAUUGCAGCUCAAAAUGGGUGGUAGACUCCAUCUAAAGCUAAAUAUCGGGGAGAGACCGAUAGCGAACAAGUACCGUGAGGGAAAGAUGAAAAGCACUUUGGAAAGAGAGUUAAAAGUACGUGAAAUUGUCGAAAGGGAAGCGCUUGAAGUCAGCCAUGCCGCUCAGGACUCAGCCUGGCUUUUGCUUGGUGUAUUUCCUGGGUAGCAAGUCAGCAUUGGUUUGGAUCGUCGGAGAAGCAUAGUCGGAAUGUGGCGCCCUCGGGCGUGUUAUAGCCUUCUAUUGGAUACGACGAUCUAGACCAAGGAACGCAGCGCGCCUUAUGGCGGGUCUUCGGACACCU
rnacentral:rRNA from 1 species